rnacentral:tRNA from 1 species
GUCCUUAUAGUAUAUUAAUUAUAUAGGUCUUCCAAACCUAAGAACCUCUUUGAGGUGAGGGUA